rnacentral:rRNA from 1 species
UACGAGGGGGGCGAGCGUUGUUCGGAAUUAUUGGGCGUAAAGGGUGCGUAGGCGGGCAGGUAAGUCAGUGGUGAAAUCUCCGAGCUUAACUCGGAAACUGCCAUUGAUACUAUUUGUCUUGAAUAUUGUGGAGGUAAGCGGAAUAUGUCAUGUAGCGGUGAAAUGCUUAGAUAUGACAUAGAACACCAAUUGCGAAGGCAGCUUACUACACAAUGAUUGACGCUGAGGCACGAAAGCGUGGGGAUCAAACAGG